CUAACCAGGAUUCCCUCAGUAACGGCGAGUGAAGCGGGAAAAGCCCAGCGCCGAAUCCCCCGCUCUCUUACGGGCGGCGGGAACUGUGGCGUUAGAAGGGCGGCGACCGGCGGCGAGUGCCCGUGCCCAAGUCAUUAUCGACCGAGGCCUUUCCCACAGUGGGUGACAGGCCUUUAGCGGCACGAGACUCUCCGUCCACGACCGACCUCGGAGUCGGGUUGCUUGGGAAUGCAGCCCUAAGACGGGUGGUAUACUCCAUCUAAGGCUAAAUACUGGCACGAGUCCGAUAGCAAACAAGUACCGCGAGGGAAAGUUGAAAAGAACUUUGAAGAGAGAGUUCAAGAGUACGUGAAACCGUCUAGAGGUAAUCGGGUGGACCCGUGAAGUCGGCCCGCGGAAAUCAUGUCUACUAGAAUGCGCGCCGGUUGGCCGGAGAUCCGUGCCCUCUCGACCAGGGGGUGGGCGAUUCUGUCGUCGGGACGUCGGCUGUACUGGAGUGAGCGUUUCUUGGUGGGUGUGCUUUUCCGCGCGGUAGAGCGUUGCGACCGGUUCGCCUGGCGGUGGUAAUGCCCCUGGGGAAGGUAUGUCCGUUGAUCUGGCUGGGUGUAGCUUCGGCUGCGCCCUUCUCGGAGCUCUGCGACUGUUACAGACCCGUGGGGAGAUGGCCGCUGGCGGACCGAGGAACGACCGCCCGUGCUUGCGUCUUCGUUGUGUUCGUCUCGUAUCGGGGAGCAAUCCUCCUGCGGGGCGGGGCGGCGGGCGGCGUACGGGACUAGCUAGGGUCAGCAACGAUCGGUCGGUAUUCCACCCGGCCCGUCUUGAAACACGGACCAAGGAGUCCGCCGUGCGCGCGAGUCAUUGGGCCUCACUAAGCCCACAGGCGUAACGAAAGUGAAACCGCGGUGGGAUCCCUGCCUGACGGCGGGGCGCACCACCGGCCUGUCCUCUUUUGGGGGCUGAGCUUGAGCGCGCACGUCGGUACCCGAAAGAUGGUGAUCUAUGCCUGAGUAGGACGAAGGCAGGGGAAACUCUGGUGGAAGUCCGCAGCGAUUCUGACGUGCAAAUCGAUCGUCGAACUUGGGUAUAGGGGCGAAAGACUAAUCGAACCAUCUAGUAGCUGGUUCCCUCCGAAGUUUCCCGUAGGAUAGCUGGCGCUCGUGUAAUCAAUUUUAUCCGGUAAAGCGAAGGAUUAGAGUUCCCGGGGACGCAACGUGCCUCGCGCUAUUCUCAAACUUUAAAUGGGUAAGGUGCCGUGUCUCUCGCUUGACUUGGAGCACGGACGAGAAUGGGAGCGCUUAGUGGGCCACUUUUGGUAAGCAGAAUGGCGCUGUGG
rnacentral:rRNA from 1 species